UCUGCAGACAAGCUCAGAUGAAGCUGGUGCGGCCCCUCCCUGCAGGACAUGGAGCAGGGCUCAUAGGGCCUCCCCCGGGAUCCCACAUGGUUCCCAGAUGACACAUGUCAGGACGGGGUAGAGGACAGGACCCUAAGCCCGAUAAACAAGUGUGGGGUAAACAAGUGCAAUCAGGAGGUUGGCAGAGGCUCUUCUAAGCAGGUCACCUCGAUGUGGCCUGAAAGAUCGUGUAGGAGCCAGAGAAGUGUGGUUGUUUUUUUAAGGGAAAAUUAGGAGGAUCCGACGGAUCCUACCUCUGGUGAGGCACCCCUCAAUGAGUGCCAAAUUCUCCCUGUCUACUCUCUUGGGAACCAUCUUCUCUGAGCCAUGAGGCCCCUUGGCACCCAGCAGGGCUCCUGAGCAGCUAACAGCAGGUUCUAACUCUGUAAGAAGAUUUGGGGAAGCACUGAAACUUCUCAAGUUUGAAGGGACGCCCUAGAAGCCCCACCAUUUCACAGCAGCCCUGAGGAGAUGGUGCCCUGCUCCUGCCCCAGUUCUGUGCUCUGCCUCUUCCCCUCCCUGCUGCUCCUCCUUCAGCUGCCCCCCGCCCGGGGGGUCCCAAGAGAGGUUCCAUGUGUUUGGCCCCCCAGACCCCAUAGUGGCAGAGCUGGGCAAGGAUGCCACACUGCCCUGCUUCCUGGACCCAGUCAAGAGUGCAGAGAACAUGGAGUUGAGGUGGUUCCAGUCCAAUGUUUGGGAGUCAGUGUUCACCUAUCAAGACUGACAGGAGCGGAAUGAGGAACUGAUGGCCCAGUACACAGGGCGGACCUCGCUGGUGGGGGAAUUCCUCAGUGUGGGGGAGGCUGCUGUGUGCAUUCACAAGGUCCAGGCUACUGACAACGGGCUGUACACCUGCUUCUUCAGUGAUAUAGACUUCCACCAGGAAGCUAGCUUGGAGCUGCAGGUGGCAGGUUGGUGACAUGGUUAAAUAUCUCAGAGUCCUGGAAUUUUGGAAUUGGGGAGAAAAUAAGGGCAAUGGAAUUUAGUUUUUCAUUUCAUUUAUGGGUAAGAAAAGGCUUAUUAGUUCAUGUUUUAUGAAAUGUAAAUAUAUGGGGUAUCUACUGCAUGUCUGGCCCUGUUCUAAACUCUUGGAUACAAAAGCAAAUCUAAUAAAGUUCUUCAC